GUAAACUUGAAAACUACCUUAUGAUCGAGAACUAGAAGCCUGAGAUCCGUCCAUGUCACCCUGAGUAAUUUUUUUACUCCUAGUACUCUGGUUAAUUCUAAGUAAAAAAUUUACUCCGGGUGACGUGGACGAAUAUCAGAUGUCUAUUUCUCAAUCUCAUGGUAAUUUUUAGGUCUGC
rnacentral:pre_miRNA from 1 species